GUACGGGAGGCAGCAGGGGGAAUAUUGCACAAUGGGCGCAAGCCUGAUGCAGCCAUGCCGCGUGUAUGAAGAAGGCCUUCGGGUUGUAAAGUACUUUCAGUCGUGAGGAAGGUGUUAAGGUUAAUAACCUUAGCAAUUGACGUUAGCGACAGAAGAAGCACCGGCUAACUCCGUGCCAGCAGCCGCGGUAAUACGGAGGGUGCGAGCGUUAAUCGGAAUUACUGGGCGUAAAGGGCACGCAGGCGGUUAAUUAAGUUGGAUGUGAAAUCCCCGGGCUUAACCUGGGAAUGGCAUUCAAGACUGGUUAGCUAGAGUCUUGUAGAGGGGGUAGAAUUCCAUGUGUAGCGGUGAAAUGCGUAGAGAUGUGGAGGAAUACCGGUGGCGAAGGCGGCCCCUGGACAAAGACUGACGCUCAUGUGCGAAAGCGUGGGGAGCAAAC
rnacentral:rRNA from 1 species